rnacentral:rRNA from 1 species
UAAACAUGCAAGUCGCACGAGAAAGUGGAGCAAUCCAUGAGUAAAGUGGCGCACGGGUGAGUAACACGUGAAUGAUCUACCUCCGAGUGGGGAAUAACCUGGAGAAAUCCGGGCUAAUACCGCAUAACACUUACGAGUCAAAGCAGCAAUGCGCUUGGAGAGGAGUUCGCGGCCGAUUAGUUAGUUGGUGGGGUAAUGGCCUACCAAGACGAUGAUCGGUAUCCGGCCUGAGAGGGCGCACGGACACACUGGAACUGAAACACGGUCCAGACUCCUACGGGAGGCAGCAGUGGGGAAUUUUGCGCAAUGGGGGAAACCCUGACGCAGCAACGCCGCGUGGAGGAUGAAAUCCCUUGGGAUGUAAACUCCUUUCGAUCGGGACGAUUAUGACGGUACCGGAAGAAGAAGCCCCGGCUAACUUCGUGCCAGCAGCCGCGGUAAUACGAGGGGGGCAAGCGU